UGUUAUAGCGUUUAGUCCUGUCUCUGUUGGUUUGAGUAGUUGCUCAUUUGUUUGAUCUCGCAAUGUCUUUAGGAGUGUGUUAUAUUCUUGUUGUGCUAUCCGUUUAAUGUAGGCAGCCUUGCUUAUGGCUAGGCCUCUGAGAACCGCCUUAUGUGCCUGCCACACUGUCACAGAGGAGACGUCUUGUGUGUCGUUUGUGUUGAAGAAUGAGGUGAUUUCUGAUUGCAAUGACGCUCUAAAGUCAUGGUUGUUUAGUAGGUAGUCAGGUAGAAGUGGUUUUGCCCCUGUGUAGGAAGUUAUCCGUUAGAGUUAGGUCAAUUGGGGCAUGGUCCGUCCAGAUUAUAUCUCCUAUAUGGCAGUCUUUUAUGGAGGGU